rnacentral:rRNA from 1 species
CCGGGUGAUCUACCCAUGGCCAGGGUAAAGUUCUGGUAAGACGGAAUGGAGGCCCGAACCAUUGUCAGUUGAAAAUGGCUUGGAUGAGCUGUGGGUAGGAGUGAAAGGCUAAUCAAACUCGGAAAUAGCUGGUUCUCCCCGAAAUAUAUUUAGGUAUAGCCUUGCAUGUUGAGAUAUGGAGGUAGAGCACUGGAUGGGCUAGGGGUCUCUACAGGAUUACCAAACCCAACCAAACUUCGAAUGCCGUAUUCUUUAGUGCAGGAGUCAGACUGCGGGAGAUAAGUUCCGUGGUCGAGAGGGAAACAGCCCAGAACACCAGCUAAGGUCCCAAAUAUUUGCUAAGUGGGAAAGGAAGUGAAAACGCACAAACAGCCAGGAGGUUGGCUUAGAAGCAGCCACCCUUUAAAGAAAGCGUAACAGCUCACUGGUCGAGUGUUCUUGCGCCGAAAAUGUAACGGGGCUCAAGCAAAUAACCGAAGCUGUGUCUUUGUUCUUUUCUUCGGAUCAGAAUAAGGGGUAGGGGAGCGUUCCAGAUCCUGUGAAGCUAGACCGGAAGGACUAGUGGAGGUACUGGAAGUGAUUAUGCGGACAUGAGUAGCGAAAAUGCAGGUGAAAAACCUGCACGCCGAAAGCCUAAGGUUUCCUGGGGAAGGUUAAUCCGCCCAGGGUUAGUCAGUGCCUAAGACGAGGUCGAAAGGCGUAGUCGAUGGAAAACAGGUUAAUAUUCCUGUACCAAUAUAUAGGUGUUUGAGUGAAGGGGUGACGUAGAAGGGUAGACCAUCCGGGCGUUGGUUGUCCCGGUUUAAGCCCGUAGGUGGGGAAGAUAGGCAAAUCCGUCUUCCUAUUUAAACAUCGAGAGGUGAUGAGGAGUCGCUUGCGACAUAAACUGGUUGAUCCCAUGCUACCAAGAAAAACCUCGUAGCGAAUCUAUAUGUUGACUGUACCAAAACCGACACAGGUAGGCAAGGAGAGAAUCCUAAGGCGCUUGAGAGAACUCUUGUUAAGGAACUCUGCAAACUAGCCCCGUAACUUCGGGAUAAGGGGUGCCUCCUUAGCGUGAAGCGAUUUACUCGUUUAGCGUGAAGAGGUCGCAGUGAAAAGGCGGGAGCGACUGUUUACUAAAAACAUAGGUCUAUGCUAAGUCGUAAGACGAUGUAUAUGGACUGACGCCUGCCCGGUGCUGGAAGGUUAAGGGGAAGUGUUAUUCUUCGGAAGAAGCUCUGAACCGAAGCCCCAGUAAACGGCGGCCGUAACUAUAACGGUCCUAAGGUAGCGAAAUUCCUUGUCGGGUAAGUUCCGACCUGCACGAA